GACGAACGCUGGCGGCGUGCCUAAUACAUGCAAGUUGAGCGCUGAAGGUUGGUACUUGUACCAACUGGAUGAGCAGCGAACGGGUGGGUAACGCGUGGGGAAUCUGCCUUUGAGCGGGGGACAACAUUUGGAAACGAAUGCUAAUACCGCAUAAAAACUUUAAACACAAGUUUUAAGUUUGAAAGAUGCAGUUGCAUCACUCAAAGAUGAUCCCGCGUUGUAUUAGCUAGUUGGUGAGGUAAAGGCUCACCAAGGCGAUGAUACAUAGCCGACCUGAGAGGGUGAUCGGCCAAAUUUGGACUGAGACCCGGCCCAAACUCCUACGGGAAGCAGCAGUAGGGAAUCUUCGGCCAUGGACGAAAGUCUGACCGAGCAACGCCGCGUGAGGGAAGAAGGUUUUCGGAUCGUAAAACUCUGUUGGUAGAGAAGAACGUUGGUGAGAGUGGAAAGCUCAUCAAGUGACGGUAACUACCCAGAAAGGGACGGCUAACUACGUG
rnacentral:rRNA from 1 species